CAGGUUACCCAGGGAGGUGGAUGCUUGAUCCCUGGAGACCCUCAAGGUCAGGAUGGAUGGGGCGCUGAGCACCUAAUGGAGCUGUAGGUGUCCCUAUUCAUUGCAGAGGACCAUAUAGCUUUUAAAGGUCCCUUCCAACUCAAAUGCUUCUAUGAUGAUUCUAAGGUUGUAUGAAUUUAUGUCCACUGUUGGUAAUGAAGUACAGAGUAAUCAUUACACAGUUGAAGCCUUCUCCAAUGUCAAUAAUGGCAUUAUGUCUGAGAUAGAAGCUUUCAUUCAUCUUAAAAACAAACAAAUAAUUAAAAAAAACCCCAAACAACAAAAAAAUAGAUAAUGUAUGUGGGAGAGAGAUCUAGAAUGUUGCAUUCUGGGAACUGUGGUUCUGGCUGGCAAAGAAGUUGCAUAAAAACGGAAGGGUAGCUACAAAGGGAGUUAUAGCAAGUGCAGUCACUUGGAGUUGCCCUGGUUACUCUGAGAAUUUUUUGGCUAGGUAAUAUAUAUAUAUAUGAAGUCAAUGGGACAAAAAUCAUACAUUCAGAGAUUUGAGUGCUUCAUUUCCCUUCACCUUACAGGUGGCUCUCUAAAACCGAUGGAAUUAAAUAGUUUACUUCCCUGGCUGGACAAGAGGGAAAAAAAUCACAGUGGUUUUGACAUUAUAUAUUUUGGACAGAUUAGAAAAUACUCUGCUAAUUAGGGGAAUUCCAGGCAUGUGCAGGAAGCGUAUUUCAAUAGCCCAUGAUUAUGUUGGGUUUCGUGUAAAGCUAUUUGUUUGGCUGCCAAAGUGUUUUAUGGUGUGAUGCCAACUAUAAUAUAUUCAGAACACAGGCUAAAAAGACUCCAAACUUUAAUGCUUGAUGAGUUCAUGGGAUGGGAACACAAAGACAUAGAACCUUGAAAACCUCAACCUGAAUAAUUAAAGUAAAUAGACAGACUGUUCUGUAUUGUGAUUAAAAUGUAAGUAACUUUUGGGCAUUGCAUAGCUAUCUAGAAAUUCAAAACUUUUUAAAACAAAAGCAUGUAUUACAGUACUCUAUUAUCUAACUAUAGCACUACACAAUUCAUUAUGAGCUAACUUGAUUGCCUUUAUGGAAUGAACACGCUACCAUCCCAACACAUUUCCAGCCUCAGAGAAAUACUGGCAUCCUUUGAAAAUACACUGAAAUAAAAGUCUCCUGCAUGUUAAAUUUUUCAAGAAAAUCCUUAAUAGUUCAUAGAGGUGGUGUAAAUAAUAUAUCAAGUUAUAUUUUGGGUAUAUUAUGUGUGUUUAGAGGUAUAAAGCAGAGUUUUACAAGUACCCAAACCUCUAAGUUCAUACUUGAAGUGGUAAUGGGAACUAUGCCAGAAUAUCCAAAACUCCUAAGAAGGUGUGAGAUUUUGACAAAUAUUUCUAAAAAAAACAACCCAGAAAGGUGAAAAAAUAAGAAGAGUGAGACAAUACAGUGCAUUGUUUCUGGAUGCUGAAAGAACAAGGUGUGCAAUAAGCAACAUGCCUGUGACUUCCAGCAAUGGAGCUGGCAUUUCUAAAACCGCAGGUGACAGGUAAGGACUGGCCGAAGCCAAAGCCUGGCAUUGCUGUUUCAAGUCCUAGUUUUAAUACACUUGGAAACAAUUUGGGGCAGAACCAGCAGGCCUGGCUGUGAUUGCUAUCACAGCCUUCCAGGUUGGGUGCACCUGGGUGAACGCACCUUUCUGAGCCCUGUGCCAGGAGCUGCACCCUUCUCACUCCAGCAGGCAGCCUGGAAAGCUGCAGGGCGAGCUGCAAGGAGGAACAGGGCUGCUGAUAAGAGGUGAAUUCUUCCAUGCUCUGGUUUUGGAAGCUGGAAUGGAGAUGGCUGCCAGGUCUGCAUGGCAGGCUUCCUUUCCUGGCCCUUCCCAGGGAUGGUUGAAAUAGCCUUUGCCCUGGGGUGGGAGGGAUCUCCCAUGUGCCUUGGCCAGCUCAGCACUCCAGGCACAUGCCAGAAAUAAAAGACUGCAACAGCAUAUGCACCCCUGCUCUCCCUCAAGGCCUGGAGUAAUGAAUGUGGCUGGGGAAAGAAGGUGUGGCGUCAGCCAGCAGCUAAAUUAAGUAAAUGGGAGCUGGAAAUACACGGAGUCACUCACAGGAGUCAGUCACAGGCUGCUUUGUGGCGUGCACCGGGGGAUGGAUUUGACACCAACCAGAGCCAAAUCUGGCGUGUCUUCUAACAGUCAACUCAGGCGAUUUACAUCAGGAGGUGCCUAGAAAUUCUUAUGGAGGUCAUCAUUGUUGGAAGAAUGUCAGCAAAAAUGCCCAUAUAUCAGCUUUUCCUGGAGAUUUUCAAGAAAAGGGUGCAUGUCAUGCUUGAGGGGAACACUAGCAGGCUCGGUGUUGGGACUUGCCCCAAACAGCAGCAGAGGUAGCUUCACCGAAAAUCAACAGGAGCUUAUCUGUACUACGGGUCUUUUCUGGAACGUCAAAGUAACAUCUUAAGUUCAGAAGCCCUUAAUGAACGCACCAGACCAAAUGCUGCUUCAGAAUAUGUAUGCGCGGCUCCUAUUGAAGUCCGUGGGCACUCUGCCCACAUUUGAGAUAAGAAUCUGGCUUGUAGCAAAGCUUAAAGAAGUAUGCACUGUUUUAAUGGACUGUUGCAUAUGACAGAA